UACGGAGGGUGCGAGCGUUGUUCGGAAUCACUGGGCGUAAAGCGCGUGUAGGCGGCCCACUAAGUCUGAUGUGAAAGCCCGGGGCUCACCCCCGGAAGUGCAUUGGAAACUGGUGGACUCGAGUCCCGGAGAGGAGAGUGGAAUUCCUGGUGUAGCGGUGAAAUGCGCAGAUAUCAGGAGGAACACCAAUUGCGAAGGCAGCUCGCUGGGACGUGACUGACGCUGAGACGCGAAAGCGUGGGGAGCAAACAGG
rnacentral:rRNA from 1 species